rnacentral:rRNA from 1 species
AUACUGGUUGGCUAGAGUAUGGGAGAGGAUGGUAGAAUUCCAGGUGUAGCGGUGAAAUGCGUAGAGAUCUGGAGGAAUACCGAUGGCGAAGGCAGCCAUCUGGCUUAAUACUGACACUGAGGUGCGAAAGCAUGGGGAGCAAACAGGAUUAGAUACCCUGGUAGUCCAUGCCGUAAACGAUGUCUACUAGCCGUUGGGGCCUUUGAGGCUUUAGUGGCGCAGCUAACGCGAUAAGUAGACCGCCUGGGGAGUACGGUCGCAAGACUAAAACUCAAAUGAAUUGACGGGGGCCCGCACAAGCGGUGGAGCAUGUGGUUUAAUUCGAUGCAACGCGAAGAACCUUACCUGGUCUUGACAUAGUAAGAACUUUCCAGAGAUGGAUUGGUGCCUUCGGGAACUUACAUACAGGUGCUGCAUGGCUGUCGUCAGCUCGUGUCGUGAGAUGUUGGGUUAAGUCCCGCAACGAGCGCAACCCUUUUCCUUAUUUGCCAGCGGGUUAAGCCGGGAACUUUAAGGAUACUGCCAGUGACAAACUGGAGGAAGGCGGGGACGACGUCAAGUCAUCAUGGCCCUUACGACCAGGGCUACACACGUGCUACAAUGGUCGGUACAAAGGGUUGCUACCUCGCGAGUGGAUGCUAAUCUCAAAAAGCCGAUCGUAGUCCGGAUUGGAGUCUGCAACUC